AUCUAAAUAGUUUAAUAAAAAUAUUGAUUUGUGAUAUCAAAGAUAUACUAAUAUUUUAGAUU
rnacentral:tRNA from 1 species